AGUGAACGCUGGCGGUAGGCCUAACACAUGCAAGUCGAACGGCAGCACAGUAAGAGCUUGCUCUUACGGGUGGCGAGUGGCGGACGGGUGAGGAAUACAUCGGAAUCUACUUUUUCGUGGGGGAUAACGUAGGGAAACUUACGCUAAUACCGCAUACUACCUACGGGUGGAAGCAGGGGAUCUUCGGACCUUGCGCGAUUGAAUGAGCCGAUGUCGGAUUAGCUAGUUGGCGGGGUAAAGGCCCACCAAGGCGACGAUCCGUAGCUGGUCUGAGAGGAUGAUCAGCCACACUGGAACUGAGACACGGUCCAGACUCCUACGGGAGGCAGCAGUGGGGAAUAUUGGACAAUGGGCGCAAGCCUGAUCCAGCCAUACCGCGUGGGUGAAGAAGGCCUUCGGGUUGUAAAGCCCUUUUGUUGGGAAAGAAAAGCAGCAGGUUAAUACCCCGCUGUUCUGACGGUACCCAAAGAAUAAGCACCGGCUAACUUCGUG
rnacentral:rRNA from 1 species